AGGGCACCACCAGGAGUGGAGCCUGCGGCUUAAUUUGACUCAACACGGGAAAACUCACCCGGCCCGGACACUGGAAGGAUUGACAGAUUGAGAGCUCUUUCUUGACUCAGUGGGKGGKGGUGCAUGGCCGUUCUUAGUUGGUGGAGUGAUUUGUCUGGUUAAUUCCGAUAACGAACGAGACUCUAGCCUACUAAAUAGAUCGUCGGCUUACAAACGCCGGCGAGACUUCUUAGAGGGACAGGCGGUGAUUCAACCGCACGAAACAGAGCAAUAACAGGUCUGUGAUGCCCUUAGAUGUCCGGGGCCGCACGCGCGCUACACUGAAGUGAUCAGCGUGCUUUUUCAACCUACUCUGUCAAGAGUGGGGAACCCAAUGAACCUUCUUCGUGAUUGGGAUAGGGGAUUGUAAUUGUUCCCCUUGAACGAGGAAUUCCCAGUAAGCGCGAGUCAUAAGCUCGCGUUGAUUACGUCCCUGCCCUUUGUACACACCGCCCGUCGCUACUACCGAUUGAAUGUUUU
rnacentral:rRNA from 1 species